UAUGAGAGGCUACUUCAUCUGCAAGAAAACAGGCGGCCGCACCAGUUUCCUCAUAUGAAAUUAAAAGGGUCAGUGGUCUAAAAUGAGUCUCUCUGGGGAGAGAGAGGAGGGGGGCCCUGCCUCUAAAAUGAGUCUCUCUGGGGAACCUGACACCAAAACUAAGAGCCCAAUCAAGCAGGAGAGACCAGCCUCCUCUGUACCCAG